CAGCAGCCGCGGUAAUACGAACCGUGCGAACGUUAUUCGGAAUCACUGGGCUUAAAGCGCGUGUAGGCGGGAGGGCACGUCCGUCGCUGAAAUCCCCCGGCUCAACCGGGGAACGGGCGCGGAUACAACUCUUCUGGAGGAACGUAGGGGGACCUGGAACUUCCGGUGGAACGGUGAAAUGCGUUGAGAUCGGAAGGAACGCCCGUGGCGAAAGCGAGGUCCUGGACGUUUACUGACGCUGAGACGCGAAAGCUAGGGGAGCAAACGGGAUUAGAUACCCGGGUAGUCCCUGUCUCUUAUU
rnacentral:rRNA from 1 species